CCCCGCGGCAAGAUGGCGGCGUGAAGGCACCGGGCAGCGGCAGAAACUGAAGACUCAGGGGCCCCAGGGACUGGAAGAAAUCACAGUACCUGCUUGGAAAGAAGAGGUAGCGACUUGCCCGAGCUCAACCCCAGAGCGGCUCCGGAGUUGGGCUGCUCUCCACCGAGCUGUCUGUUUAUAUGGAGUGCCUGGAGGGCGUCUGCCAUGAGUCUGUCGCUAACCGUGCUAACCAGGAGAGCUGGCUGGUUGGGGAGAAGA
rnacentral:lncRNA from 1 species